GCCGGCUUGGCGGAAUGGUAGACGCGCUCGACUCAAAAUCGAGUUCCCAAAAGAGUGUGGGUUCGAGUCCCACAGCCGGUA
rnacentral:tRNA from 1 species